rnacentral:rRNA from 1 species
UCUGUCUUAGUGGCGGACGGGUGAGUAACGCGUGGGCAACCUGCCCUGUACCGGGGGAUAACACUUAGAAAUAGGUGCUAAUACCGCAUAAUAGGGAAUACCGCAUGGUAAUCCUUUGAAAACUCCGGUGGUACGGGAUGGGCCCGCGUCUGAUUAGCCAGUUGGCGGGGUAACGGCCCACCAAAGCGACGAUCAGCAGCCGGCCUGAGAGGGUGGACGGCCACACUGGGACUGAGACACGGCCCAGACUCCUACGGGAGGCAGCAG